GGACGGGUGAGUAAUGUCUGGGAAACUGCCUGAUGGAGGGGGAUAACUACUGGAAACGGUAGCUAAUACCGCAUAAUGUCGCAAGACCAAAGUGGGGGACCUUCGGGCCUCAUGCCAUCAGAUGUGCCCAGAUGGGAUUAGCUAGUAGGUGGGGUAACGGCUCACCUAGGCGACGAUCCCUAGCUGGUCUGAGAGGAUGACCAGCCACACUGGAACUGAGACACGGUCCAGACUCCUACGGGAGGCAGCAGUGGGGAAUAUUGCACAAUGGGCGCAAGCCUGAUGCAGCCAUGCCGCGUGUGUGAAGAAGGCCUUCGGGUUGUAAAGCACUUUCAGCGGGGAGGAAGGCGGUGAGGUUAAUAACCUCAUCGAUUGACGUUACCCGCAGAAGAAGCACCGGCUAACUCCGUGCCAGCAGCCGCGGUAAUACGGAGGGUGCAAGCGUUAAUCGGAAUUACUGGGCGUAAAGCGCACGCAGGCGGUCUGUCAAGUCGGAUGUGAAAUCCCCGGGCUCAACCUGGGAACUGCAUUCGAAACUGGCAGGCUAGAGUCUUGUAGAGGGGGGUAGAAUUCCAGGUGUAGCGGUGAAAUGCGUAGAGAUCUGGAGGAAUACCGGUGGCGAAGGCGGCCCCCUGGACAAAGACUGACGCUCAGGUGCGAAAGCGUGGGGAGCAAACAGGAUUAGAUACCCUGGUAGUCCACGCCGUAAACGAUGUCGAUUUGGAGGUUGUGCCCUUGAGGCGUGGCUUCCGGAGCUAACGCGUUAAAUCGACCGCCUGGGGAGUACGGCCGCAAGGUUAAAACUCAAAUGAAUUGACGGGGGCCCGCACAAGCGGUGGAGCAUGUGGUUUAAUUCGAUGCAACGCGAAGAACCUUACCUGGUCUUGACAUCCACAGAACUUUCCAGAGAUGGAUUGGUGCCUUCGGGAACUGUGAGACAGGUGCUGCAUGGCUGUCGUCAGCUCGUGUUGUGAAAUGUUGGGUUAAGUCCCGCAACGAGCGCAACCCUUAUCCUUUGUUGCCAGCGGUCCGGCCGGGAACUCAAAGGAGACUGCCAGUGAUAAACUGGAGGAAGGUGGGGAUGACGUCAAGUCAUCAUGGCCCUUACGACCAGGGCUACACACGUGCUACAAUGGCAUAUACAAAGAGAAGCGACCUCGCGAGAGCAAGCGGACCUCAUAAAGUAUGUCGUAGUCCGGAUUGGAGUCUGCAACUCGACUCCAUGAAGUCGGAAUCGCUAGUAAUCGUAGAUCAGAAUGCUACGGUGAAUACGUUCCCGGGCCUUGUACACACCGCCCGUCACACCAUGGGAGUGGGUUGCAAAAGAAGUAGGUAGCUUAACCUUCGGGAGGGCGCUUACCACUUUGUGAUUCAUGACUGGGGUGAAGUCGUAACAAGGUAACCGUAGGGGAACCUGCGGUUG
rnacentral:rRNA from 1 species